rnacentral:rRNA from 1 species
UGCACCACUCCUACGGGAGGCAGCAGUCGAGGAUCUUCUGCAAUGGGCGCAAGCCUGACAGAGCGACGCCGCGUGUGGGAUGAAGGCCUUCGGGUUGUAAACCACUGUCACUGGUUACGAAAAGCUAGGAGGCUAAUAGCCUCCUAGUUUGACUAAGGCCAGAGAGGAAGCCACGGCUAACUUCGUGCCAGCAGCCGCGGUAAGACGAAGGUGGCGAGCGUUGUUCGGAAUCACUGGGCAUAAAGCGCACGUAGGCGGCGGCGUAAGUCGGGUGUGAAAUCCCUCGGCCUAACCGAGGAACUGCGCCCGAUACUGCGUUGCUUGAGGGUCAAAGGGGUGCAUGGAAUUCCCGGUGGAGCGGUGAAAUGCGUUGAUAUCGGGAGGAACGCCGGCGGCGAAAGCGGUGCACUGGUUGACUUCUGACGCUCAUGUGCGAAAGCCAA